AUGGCUCACGUUCUCGCUACGGCACAGCCCCUCGCCCUCCUCAAGCGGCCACCAUCACCAAAGGCCAGCUUCGUCGAUGGCAACGACAAGGCACGCAAGGCCCGUCACGGGGAGUCCGAGUCGGACCCGGCGGUGGGUCUAGCCGUGGCGCGUCACGAGUUCGGCGAGUAUGGCGGCGUGAACAUGUCCAUUGAGGCCUCAGCCACGUUCACAGUCAUGGAGCCGGAGAUCCUGCGCCGGCUCUUCACAGGGGAGCUAGGCCCGGAACGCGACCAACUGUACAUCUACAGCCGCCACUUCAAUCCGACGGUGCUAGCUCUGGGGCGGCAGAUGGCGGCCUUGGAGGGGACCGAGGCCGCCUACUGCACGGCGUCCGGCAUGUCGGCCAUCUCGUCCGUGCUGAUGCAGCUGGUGGGCGCUGGCGGGCACGUGGUGGCAUCGCGGUGUUUGUACGGAGGAACCCAUGCCCUGCUGUCCCAAUUCCUGCCGCGCACCUCUGGCGUGCACACGACGUUCGUGGACAUGGACGACGAGGAGGCCGUACGCUCGGCCAUGAAGCCAGGGGAGACGCGGGUGGUGUUCGUGGAGACUAUGUCGAACCCAACACUUGCCGUUGCCGACAUCCCGAUGUUGGCGCGUUUGGCGUGCGAGGCCGGGGCCAAGCUGGUGGUGGACAACACCUUCACCCCAGUCGUCGUCUCGCCCGCGCGGCUAGGCGCUGACGUCGUCGUCCACAGCAUGUCAAAGUUCAUCAGCGGAUGCGCCGAUAUAAUCGCCGGUGCGAUCUGCGGUCCGGCGAGCCUGGUGAAAGCGAUGAUGGACCUGCAGGACGGUGCACUGAUGCUCCUGGGCCCCACAAUGAACGCAAAGGUGGCGUCCGAGCUUGCCGGGCGUCUUCCUCACCUGCCGCUACGAAUGCAGGAGCACUCGCGCCGCGCCGCCGAGUUCGCCACCCGGAUGCGCCUCCUGGGCCUCCAGGUUACGUACCCUGGCCUUCCGGACCACCCACACCACGACCGGCUAUCCGCCAUGGGCAACCCGUGUUACGGCGCCGGCGGGAUGCUGUGCGUGGACAUGGGCACCGAAGAGCGGGCCAAUAGCCUCAUGUACCACCUCCAGAACACCACCCACUUCGGCCUCAUGGCCGUCAGCCUCGGCUACUACCAGACGCUCAUGUCUUGCUCCGGGAACAGCACCAGCAGUGAGAUGGCGCCCGACGACCGCGCCCGCGCCGGCAUCUCCCCGGGCCUCAUCCGCAUGUCCAUUGGGUACAAUGGCACCCUGGACCAGCGCUGGGCGCAAUUCGAGAGCGCCGUCACCCUUAUGAAACAGGAGACUACCAGCGCUUCCGCAAGCAAGCUCAUCUGA
rnacentral:rRNA from 1 species